rnacentral:rRNA from 2 species
AGGGGGGACGGAGAAGGCUAUGUUGGCCGGGCGACGGUUGUCCCGGUUUAAGCGUGUAGGUGUGUGUUCCAGGUAAAUCCGGUUCACUUUAACACUGAGGCGUGACGACGAGGCACUACGGUGCUGAAGCAACAAAUGCCCUGCUUCCAGGAAAAGCCUCUAAGCAUCAGGUAACACGAAAUCGUACCCCAAACCGACACAGGUGGUCAGGUAGAGAAUACCAAGGCGCUUGAGAGAACUCGGGUGAAGGAACUAGGCAAAAUGGUGCCGUAACUUCGGGAGAAGGCACGCUGACACGUAGGUGAAGUGAUUUACUCAUGGAGCUGAAGUCAGUCGAAGAUACCAGCUGGCUGC